rnacentral:rRNA from 1 species
AGAGUUUGAUCCUGGCUCAGGAUGAACGCUAGCUACAGGCUUAACACAUGCAAGUCGAGGGGCAGCAUUUCAGUUUGCUUGCAAACUGGAGAUGGCGACCGGCGCACGGGUGAGUAACACGUAUCCAACCUGCCGAUAACUCGGGGAUAGCCUUUCGAAAGAAAGAUUAAUACCCGAUGGUAUAAUCAGACCGCAUGGUCUUGUUAUUAAAGAAUUUCGGUUAUCGAUGGGGAUGCGUUCCAUUAGGCUAGG